ensembl:lncRNA
AUGGACUUAGGUCCAUUGCAUCUUCCAGUGCUGUUUUGUUAAGCAGGUUAUUACUUCAUGGCAACUUGACCUUCCUCCAACAUACAGAUGUUUUUAUGAAAACAUCUGAUUUUGUUGAUUUUCAUCUCUUACUUCAGCUUGCCCACUAUCUCUCUAGGAACUGUUGUUCAUAACAGUUCACGUUCAUGUGUGUGUUACCUCUUUGCUGAACCCCAGCUCACACACACAUACCACUUAUUUGGGGACUUCAUUUACACAAUGAUUCCAAUGACUCCCAUAUUUUAUAACAGUUCAGUUCAGUCGCUCAGUCGUGUCCGACUCUUUGCGAACCAAUGAAUUGCAACACGCCAGGGAGCCUGGUGUGCUGUGGUUCGUGGAGUCGGACAUGACUAGACGGUUGAACUGAACUGAAUUGCUUUACAGAAUUUUGUUGUUUUCUGUCAAACCUUAACAGUGUUCCUCAAUGCAUGAAUCUCUAUUUUCUCAUUUAGCUUUGUGACUCUUCAAGACUGGGUGACAGUGGCAGCUAUCCCGAACAGUUAGCUAGUAAUGUGAAGCUCAGUUUGGACUUUGAAGUAGCAAAAAGAUGUAGAAAGGGGAUGAAGUGUUGAAACUUAGUAUCGUACAUCUUUAUAUCAUUGUAACUGUAUUAAAGUACACAAAGCUAUAUUAAAGUAUACAAAAUUGAUGAGAAUUUUGACAGUUGAUGCUGUCUACCAAUAAUUUAAUCAUUUAGAAAAUGCAGAAUUGUUUGGUCAGAUGUAGCAAAGAAUUUUGGGGGGUGUGUCAUUGAGAUUUUUUGUGUGUGGGGGAAGAAAAAGGAAAUGAUUCUUUGCAGUUUGAAUGGUCUGACACCACCAAGUAUAUUUGUGUAGAUGCAUCCUCUCUCUUUUCCUUUAACAGAUACUGAUUAUCAAGUGCUGUAUUGUUGAAUACAGUAUUUUGAUUAAAGGGUCUUUUAUGUUGUUCAUCUCCUGAGAGAUAAUCACAGACUAACUCAAUAUUUCCUGCAGUCUCUGUAAGAGGCUUUAUAG